rnacentral:misc_RNA from 1 species
GAUGAAGAAACGCAGCGAAAUGCGAUACGUAAUGUGAAUUGCAGAAUUCAGUGAAUCAUCGAAUCUUUGAACGCAUAUUGCGCUCUCUGGUAUUCCGGAGAGCAUGCUUGUUUGAGUAUCAGUAAACACCUCAACUUCCAUAUCUUUUUUGAAAUGGGAGUUGGACUUGAGUGAUCCCAACGCUUUUCCUCACCGAAAAGUGGCGGGUUACUUGAAAUGCAGGUGCAGCUGGACUUUUCUCUGAGCUAUAAGCAUAUCUAUUUAGUCUGCCUAAAAAACAGAUUAUUACCUUUGCUGCAGCUAACAUAAAGGAGAUUAGUUCUUGUGCUGACUGAUGCAGGAUUCACAAAGACAGGCUUCGGCCGACUUUGUAAACUCGAUCUCAAAUCAAGUAAGACUACCCGCUGAACUUAAGCAUAUCAAUAAGCGGAGGA